rnacentral:rRNA from 1 species
UACCAGCACCCCGAGUGGUCGGGACGUUUUAUUGGGCCUAAAGCAUCCGUAGCCGGUUCUACAAGUCUUCCGUUAAAUCCAGCUGCUUAACAGAUGGGCUGCGGAAGAUACUAUAGGGCUAGGAGGCGGGAGAGGCAAGCGGUACUCAGUGGGUAGGGGUAAAAUCCUCUGAUCCAUUGAAGACCACCAGUGGCGAAGGCGGCUUGCCAGAACGCGCUCGACGGUGAGGGAUGAAAGCUGGGGGAGCAAACCGG